AGCAAAUCACUCAGGUAUUCAGUACGACAUUGCUCACAUUGCUUCCAGUAUUUCUUGCCCACUUUUGAGUGGGCUUUUUUU
rnacentral:antisense_RNA from 1 species